AUGAACGCUAGCGACAGGCCUAACACAUGCAAGUCAGGGGCAGCACAAGGAGCAAUCUGAGGUGGCGACCGGCGCACGGGUGAGUAACACGUAUGCAACCUGCCUGUAAGCGGGGAAUAACCCGUUGAAAGACGGACUAAUACCGCAUAAUACUAAAUUACUGCAUGGUAAUUUAUUUAAACAUUUAUGGCUUACAGAUGGGCAUGCGCAUGAUUAGCUAGUUGGAGAGGUAACGGCUCCCCAAGGCAACGAUCAUUAGGGGUUCUGAGAGGAAGGUCCCCCACACUGGUACUGAGACACGGACCAGACUCCUACGGGAGGCAGCAGUGAGGAAUAUUGGUCAAUGGACGAGAGUCUGAACCAGCCAAGUCGCGCGCAGGAAGAAUGUCCUAUUGGGAUUGUAAACUGCUUUUGCAGGGGAAUAAAGUGCAUCACGUGUGAUGUUUUGUAUGUACUCUGCGAAUAAGGAUCGGCUAACUCCGUGCCAGCAGCAGC
rnacentral:rRNA from 1 species